rnacentral:tRNA from 1 species
GCCGGGGUGGCGGAACGGCAGACGCAGCGCUCUUAAAAAGCGCGGCCCAAAAGGCGUGCGGGUUCGAAUCCCGCCCUCGGCACCA